AGGUCUAAUCUUUGAUGACAUCUAAUUAACAGCAACGAAAAAGGCCAUACAUAGUAAAGACUCAGUAUUUUAUAAAGAGACUCACCUAGCAUAGCUUGAAAAUUUUAAACCAAAAAAUAGGUAGUUACCAGUGGUGAAAGUUACUGAACACUUUUUGUCAGUAACUGAUCUAAUCAUGUUGAAUUUUGAGAGACGCCUUCCGAUCUCAGCAGAAAUUUCAGUUCUACUUCAACAAUUAAUUUAUAGCAUAAAGCUUUCAUUUAGGGUGAUAUGGGUACAUAUUUGAAAUUUAGAUUGCAGUUCUCUGUUUUUUUUUUCUUUCUCCAGAUUCAUAGCUGUUAAUGUUUUGGGUAUCUUACAAUUUGUGAAUUUUUCAAUGUUUUGUUGGCAUGAGUUCUGAUUUCAUUUGUGUUUUUUUUUUUUGGUUUGAAUUUGGUAAUGGUUGCUAUUGUUUUGAUUAAGCUCUGAGUUCUUGGCUUUGGUUGCAUCCAGUGAAAGAGUCAAUGCUUUUGUGUUUGUGUAAUUGAACAGACUUUCUUGGUGGGUGGUUCAUAUAUCUCUAUUUGAUUACUCGGAAACAGUGCAAAGGGUUUGGGUUUGAUGAUUUUUCUUUAUUUGAUUGAUGAAAAAACUGUGUAGAAGAUAAAAUUCUUUGGGUUUUCAGUUUUUUUUGAACAAAUUAUGACCUGUGCUCAGGUAAUUGUAUCUUCAUUGGAUAAAGUUUUAUGCUUUCCUUUUAUAUUAUGCAGGGCAGGCAUUACUCCUGCAACUGUGUUGAUCAUUUUCGCUGGAAGCUUCCAAGCAAAUAUAUUCUCUGCACACCAUCAAAAAAAAAAAAAAAAAAAAAAAACUUUGCUGGCCAAAACAGAAUUCCAAGGAGGCUACCUGAAACUAAUCGAUUUAACUCUUGAGGACUUUUCGCUGCCAAUCAGAAGAAGAAGAAGAUUUGCUGAGGGAAAGUCUAGAGAGGAGGAAGGGAUGUCUUGGUCGAUUUCAGUCUGUUCCCAAUUAGGGAAUUUCCGUUUCACAUUCAAAGUUUCAAUCUUUAAAGGUUGUCGAGAAUUGAUUGCAUUGGACUACUGGGAGAAUGGGUGUUGUAAAGGCGAACCCGCAUUUGGACUCAUCAUCUAGGACAGUAGCAUCACUUACUGGCAGUAAUUCUGAAUCAAGAGAGGGCAAGAAGCCCUUGGAAAUUGCAGGGUGGAUACACUCAUGACAUUCAUACGACUUUGCAUAGGAGUAAAGUCGACUGUCCACAGAUUGAGGAAAUGGCCACUGUCAGUUUUGAUGGUGCUGUACUUGGACAAAUUCCUGCAAGUAUGUCAUAUCUUUGUGUUGGAUCUUCUGGCAAGGCUGACAAGAAGAAAAAGAAGGGGAAAGAUGCAAAAGUUGUUGCAUAUCUUUCAGACAAAGAAAUCUUUUAUGUCGAAGAUAAAGUCGGAGGAGUUCAAUUAUGGGAUAGUUUCAGUCACCCUAGCAAUACAAUCUUACUUGAACAAAUGCUAGGAUUCGAUAGUAAAUCUGGAACAAAGAAUGUCAUGACUUCCUGGAAAAGUGAGAAUGAUCCAUCAACUGGGAGAUAUUUGGUUGGAUUGACACCUGAGGCACCAACAAAAGUGUUCUUUUGGAUCAAUGGAUCAAUUCCUCACUGGAGGAGUGGGCAUUGGGAUAAAUCAAAGUUCAUUGGAAAAGCAGAGAUGGAUGAUCAAUAUGGAAGUGGAUUUAGUCUUAAAGAAGAUAAAACACAGAGAUUCAAAGUAUUUCUCUGAUUCUUUUUCUGAGGUUAGACUCACCUAUUUACACCUCUUCAAAAGGAACAUCAAAACUUAUGAUGUCAGAUCGUGGUAAGAACUGGUAUGCAAACUAGGAGGUUAUGUUUAAUUAUCCAUGCUCAUGGAUAAUUGAUCUUUUAUUGUUUCUUUUUCUUUUUUCUGUUUUGCAGUAUGGAUACAGGGAUAUACUGAAGUUAGUUGGUAACUUCCUGUCAUUAUUGUCCACAUAUCUAUGUAAAAUCUGAUCCUAGGUCUUUGUUGAAGUAUGCUUGCAGAGUUAUGUCUGACCAAAUGAAGAAAGCAAGGCAUUUCCAUUUCCUUGAUGAAGGAGCUGGCGUAAGACUUAAAGCACUAAGAACAUCUCCUGUAAUUUAUGUUGAUUUGAAUUUUUGCUCAGUUGCUCCGACAUGGAUUUGAUGCCCACAUUAAGGCUAGCUUUGAAAUCCUCUUGCCCUUAACUCAGAUUUCUUAGGAUCAUAUCAGAGAUAGGUAAUAGUCAUUGUCCUAUGCUUUAAAGAAAGCUGAGGUCUUUACAGUAUGUGUCCAGUAGUUCAUCAAUAAUCAAAUUGUAUUUAAUGUAGAUGACUUUUAGUGAUCGUGAUCCCUGUUAAUUUCUUCAUGAUUGAUCAAGUAGUUUGAUUGUAGUAAUUCUUCAAAGUUCAAUAUUCAAUUGAUGUGUGUAUAUGUUGGGGAA